UGAAAGAUGGGUUCCCAUUAAACCAUCACUGCAAGCCAUGUCUGGUUUCCUGAGCAAUUAAAUCAAAAGCAGUUGAAAUAUUUUAUCACCGAUGAGUACAAUUUCAUCUAAGACUGAUCUUCAGAAGCUUUCAGCACAACGUUUAUCUGCAGAUGAAGGAUCACCAAAUGCUUACAACUGAAGGAAAUGAACAUCAAAGGUAUCCAGUAAAUUAUUUUGGGAGUUGGAUUUUUCACAGAGCAAGUCUCACUUUUUCUGAGCUGUAAGUGAACGUGACAGCUUUGUGGCCAAAAGGAAGUCCCGAGACUCAGCUUCCAGAACUCAGGUUCAGUGAAGUGAGAGAGUUUGCAACAUAACCUUUUAGCCUGAGAGGCCUACAAGUACAAAAGCUGGAGUGCUGUAAGAAGACAUACUUUUAAUAGUGAGAAAAAAACAAAUCUGGAGGGAGGAAAAGAGGAAAGAUUGCAAUUCAGAUGAAGUAAUGACUUGAGUAUGAGUGAUGGACAUAUGUACAAUGAAGUCCUAAGAGAUAUCCCUUCCUUACAAAUAAUCUGGGCUCUGCUGAAGGCUGGAAGCUUCAGGGCUGUUUUCUAGAAGAGUCUGAGGAUCUUGUUUUUCUUUCUUGCGUGUGUGUGGAGGUGUUUACACCAGAGUACGAUCAAAAUAGCCGACUACAAGGAUGUGUUGAAGUCAAACUCGCAGACCGUUUUAUUCCCAGUCACACCACUUGUAACAAGAGAGAUGAUAUUUCUAGAAAAGGAGGAAUGUAUACUUGAAGGGAGAAGAGUUAGAAGAUAACUGGAGCCAAACAGUAGAAACCCACAAGAGCUGCACUGGUUCAGCCAUUGUGUGGUCAGUGGUCACCAACCACAAGAUAUAUAUUUUUCAUUCCUCUUUAUUGUAGCAGAAUUUGAACAUGACUUAAGGAAGAACUAAGGUUUCUUGGGGCUUUACGUACAAAACCUUUGUGUUAUCUUUUUCUGUAAAGCAAAAUUAUUUUUAGAAUUUAAAUUAAAAAUAAGUAAAUAAAUACCAUUUGCUUAUGCUUUUCCUGCUCUUUGAAAGGCCGUAUAGCCUCUGAGAGAAUUUUCCCUUCCCUUCCCUUCCCUUCCCUUCCCUUCCCUUCCCUUCCCUUCCCUUCCCUUCCC
ensembl:lncRNA